CACGGGGGGAGCAAGCGUUGUUCGGAAUCACUGGGCGUAAAGGGCGUGUAGGCGGUCAGGUAAGUGGGACGUGAAAUGCCUCGGCUCACCCGAGGAGCGGCGUCCCAUACUGCUUGGCUUGAGUACGGGAGAGGAUGUGGGAAUUCCUGGUGUAGCGGUGAAAUGCGUAGAUAUCGGGAAGAACACCCGUGGCGAAGGCGGUUCUCUGGGACGGUACUGACGCUGAGACGCGAAAGCGUGGGGAGCGAACAGG
rnacentral:rRNA from 1 species